UACAGAGGGGGCAAGCGUUGUUCGGAAUCACUGGGCGUAAAGGCGCGUAGGCGGCCGAUUAAGUCGGGGGUGAAAGCCUGUGGCUCAACCACAGAAUUGCCUUCGAUACUGAUUGGCUUGAGACCGGAAGAGGUCAGUGGAACUGCGAGUGUAGAGGUGAAAUUCGUAGAUAUUCGCAAGAACACCAGUGGCGAAGGCGGCUGACUGGUCCGGUUCUGACGCUGAGGCGCGAAAGCGUGGGGAGCAAACAGG
rnacentral:rRNA from 1 species